UUAAUUAAUUAAGGAGAAAUAUGUUUUCUAAAAUGUAUAUUUUUAAAAAGGCUAUCUUGAAAACCAUGGCCGCAAUGUUAUCUAAACUACAUUAAAAAUAACCAUAGCAUUUUUUAGUCUGUAGGUAAGAGUUUACUUCUUCACAUUCUUCAAAAUUUAAAGGAGCAUGUCGAUUGGGAAAAAAAAAAAAUGCACAGCUUGAGAGCUGUGAGGUCAGUUUGAUUGGGGGCAAAAUGACCACUAGACCCUGAGAGGCAGCAUCUCAGGAGCUCUGAGAAACCACUCCAAAGAGGCAGGGGGAGGGCAGAGUGUCUGAUCUCGGUGAAGGGGGAGUCCCUGCCACCAAGCUCACAUUGUGGGGAAGGUCCCUGCUGGCCUCGUGAAGGUCACCGCUGGUCACGAGGAGCAGACGUCACCAUGAAGGAUGUUGGUGGUUUUCUAGGUACGAGGAGAUGCAAGACUCGGGGGCUCCUGAAAUCUUCUCCUGAAAACCUCUAACCCUCUGAAGUCCUGUCCUUCCAAUUUCCCCAGAGCACAGAGGCCUCACUCCUGGUCCCCACCCUGAGCUCCCGUCAGGGGGUGGGGGUCAGCGGCGGCAGCAGCUCGGGACUCAGUCUGUGUAGAGGCAGGUGCCACGUGCCCAUCUCCUGUCAGCAAGUGCUUGCCCCUCCUGCCAUCGAAGGAAAAGAGGCUGGGAUGGAAAGGCAUCAACGGUCCAUGCAGGGGGACAACACGCCUUUCCCCUGGGCUCAUCAGGAGCUAAAGCGUCCACGUGGAUUCUUGACCCUAAACGUGAAACCAGAGGGUUCACGCUGGGAUGCCUACAGCCCUGGGUUCCAGAAGGAACCAAAACGGAGGUAGGGAUUCACAGAGAUUGCAUCAUUUCUGUGGGAGAGCUAAGCGCCGCGUCCGCCCUCAUAAACAGAAAUGUGCUUGCCUGCGCCAGGAAAUGAGCCAUACAACGUAUGUUGCUGGUUUAUCAUAAUGUGUUAUUCAGCCUAGCUAAAUGAAACAAUCCCUAAGUCAGAAUUUGCGGUAAACCAGCAUGGAUGGAAUAAGCACAGACUCACAAGUAAGACAUUCACAUAAGCCGGGGGAGGCAGGGAGGUGCAGAGGAGGGAAGUUUCCUUGAUGGCAUCAGAAUAGGGAACAAUGGUUUAAAUGAGAUAGCAGACAUUCCCCGGGGAAACCCAAAGUCCUUCACACACCCAGGUGGUGCGUCCAUAAAAGUAUGCUGUUGGCCGCCACCAAGCCGAGGGGCUUCCACAUAGGUCAGCAGUUGUCAACACUGGGCUUUUAUGUUUGAAGGAAUCCAGAGGAGUCUGCACCCAGCCGGAAGUCCUAAGUCGUGCCCGAGCGAUGGCCCGACCUUCCAUGUACGAGAAACACCAUCUUCCGGGAAGACGCUUCCACCCUUCUGCUCCCAGGGGUUUGCUGAUGCAAACCCACAUGGGCCCACGGUGCCCACGUGCAAGCGCCCUGCGGUUCUGGUGAAGCAACUUUCCAAAUCCUGUGUUUCCAGCAGGAUAACGUGGGUGAUCGGGGCGGGGGUGGGGGGAGGUGAGAAUUGGAAAAUUCACUCUUUAUCAAGGUUUCCGUCCCACAGCCCCGGGAAGACGGACCAAGAGCCUGAGGAGGCAGGACGCCCUGGAGGAAGUGGCUUGCCUGUCAGUUAUAAAAUGUGGAGGAAGAACCCCACACACGGCGUCUGAGACACCUCGCCUGGCGAGAGAUGGGACAGAGACGAGCCUACGUCCGAAGGCGAAGGGGGUGUUUCAUCCAAAGGAGGACACACAGUGCCCACUGGGGCACCAUGGGAUGGUGCCAUCUCCAGGACGCAGGUUCGAUUCCCGGCCCAGCACAGCGGGUUAAAGGAUCCGGCGCUGCGGCAGCAAUGGCUCAGGUGGCAACGACAGCUCAAAUCUGGUUCCUGGCCCAGGAACUCCAUGUGCCAUGGCGCAACCAGAAAAGAAAAAACAAACAAGACAAAAAAAAUCUAAGGCUAUAUUUGUCUUGAGGGAUUUCUGAGCUUAUGUUUUCACGGCUAAAUUCUGACCACACAUCCAGGCUAAACAGCAAUAAUUCAAGCCUGGGGCAUACACUUUGGUUUCUUUUUUAGGGGGGAGUUGGUUUUGGUUUUGGUUUUUUGUGGGGGCUUUUUGUAUUUUUUUUUUUCUUUUUAGGGCCACACCUGCAGCAUACAGAAGUUACCAGGCUAGCAGAGGAAUCAGAGCUGCAUCUGUGACCCACACCACAGCUCAUGGCAACCCCAGGUCCUUAACUCACUGAGCGAAGCCAGGGAUCAAACCAGCACCCUCACGGAUGCUUGUCCGACUCUUAACCUGCUAGGACACAACAGGAACUCCCUGGGGCGUAUACUUUGGGAAAAUGCUUUCUGUGGAUUCCACUCCAGCGGCUCAUGAUUCAAUCCGUGUAGGGGCAGGUGGCCAGAGCCCGACUCCAGUUCACAGCAUCCAUGGCCUCAUCCACCGUUUCCUCCUGACAGUUUAAGAUCUGUGUCCCUGGGGCCAGCAAGGACUACUGAUGGGCCAGCAUGGCGCAGCAGCAGCAUCUAGGGGGGAGGCUGGGGGGAGGGACGUUUGCCUGGCUCCCUGGCUGUAACAUCAGGCAUCCCGCAGUCCGGAGUCUCUCCAGGCUUCCCUGGGGGGCAGCAGGCAGGAGUGUCUGUGGACGAUGAGCUUCAAGCACCCCCCUUGGGCAGCCCAGGAGCACUGGGGGAAGUAGACACUCUCCCUUCAUUCCCCAGGAUGGCCCAGACCCCAGCUGAGGGACACGCAGUGCAGGGAGGAGUCUGCAGCUGCAGACAGGACCAGAGUGCAGCCACAGCCACAGGUGUCCCCGUGGGGGGCGGCCACGCCCAGAACCAGGUGCCACCUGGAACACUCCAAAGGAUGCCAGCGUGGACAGCACAGAAGACCCAGGGUCGUCUCUGCGGCACCAGGAGCCCCCUCCCACCCGAAACCCCGGCCAGCAGGCCUUGUCCCCUGUCCUGUGUCCAAGAGCCAGAAGGAGCCCCUCCCAGCCCCUCCAUGACGUCACCCACCGGAAGCUGCCGAAACCCACCGUUUAGGGGUUGAUGAAGGUUCCACGAAACCCACCGUUUAGGGGUUGAUGAAGGUUCCACGGAUAGAUUAAAUCACUGGGCGUGUUGAUUCAUCCAAGCUCCAGCCCUUCCUCCCUCCCCGACUUCCUGAGGGGGUGGAACUGAAACUUCCAACCUUCUCGCCGCCAACUUGGUUCCCAUGGCAACCGACCCUCAUCCUGAAGGCAUCUAGGGGCCCCUGUUGGGGUGAAAAGGACUUACUGUAAAGAACAAAAGCUGUGCCUCCCCUCACCCCGGGGGACCUGAGAGGGUUUUAGGAAAAACAAAAGUAUAGUUGGGUUCGUUUCCCCUGAGCCACAAUGCGAACUCCUGUAUUUCUUAUUUUACCUCAAUAUCCCAGGCCCUCCCAGGUUCUUUCCACCACCAGCCCCAUGGCCCACAUGUCCCACCUGAACUGUUCAAGCUGCAGCCUCCAGUGUGCACUGACCUCCUUCCAUCCAAAUUCAAGGUGGAGUUCCCAUUGUGGCUCAGGGGGUUAAGAACCCGACGAGUAUCCAUGAGGCUCUGGGUUCCAUCCCUGGCCUCGCUCAGUAGCUUAACGAUCCCGCGUUGCCGUGAGCUGGGGUGUGGGUCGCAGACGUGGCUCGGAUCCGGCGUUGCUGUGGCUGUGGUGUAGGCUGGCAGCUGUAGCUCCGAUUGGACCCCUAGCCUGGGAACCUCCAUAUCAUACGCCACAGGUGUGACCCUAAAAAGAAAAAAAAAAAAGCCAAAAGCACGAGGACUCAGGGGCUUGCACAGAGAUUCAAGACCCCAGGGCACCUGGUGCCUCAGGACUUCUGGGCGGGUAGAGCCGAGCAGCCCGGGACCUCCAGCCCGCGAGACCCCCUCUGCCCACCCCAGCGAGGGAGCAGGGGAAAGGCACCGUGUGGUUCCCAUGGACAGAAGUCUGUCUGGAGAAAAGUAACGUGGACCAGGACGUGGCGGAUUCCAUGACGGCUUUGAUGGGCUUGGGGGGGAGCGGGGGUGUGUGUGGGGGGGGUUGCAGUUCCAUGUUCUGAGAGGAGGCUCUAUGAAAAAUGCCUGCGUCCAAAAGAAAAGCCAGAGGUUGUGGUUUCUAAUAAACAGAGGCAAUGUCUGUUCCAGCUGGUGGGGGAUUUUGUUUCCAUUCCAGAGCAUCUGUAAACUCACAGUUACAGCAGAAGCUUGCCACAUUGUAUCUGCACAAAUUUCAGAGGACACAGAAAAAUACCCAAGACCCAGCAUAGCCAGUGUGGGCAGCAGUGCCUGCAGCUGCAGUCUGUGUUGUGUUCACUGGCUCCAUGCAAUGGAUUGGGCUUUCUAAGGUCAACAGAUUGCAUUAAUUUGUUAAAUCCACACCCUCCUUGAGACACAGACAAAUACUUCCUUUUAUAAGCCUGAAAUCUGUUCACCUGAAAAUAGAUUUUCUGCUGUAAGCGCUACAGCUAAAUGACAUCCCAGGAGUGAUGCCUGCCCUUAGGGAUUGGAUAAAGCCUGUGCCAGGCUGUACAGGGGUCUAACUACCCCAAGUCAAUAGGGCUUGGCCAGCUCCUGCUUCUGUCCACCCCUUUCUUUCUGAGAGCUGCCCUGGGAGAGGCGGUAGGUUUUCACAACUGACAGGAGACCAGGCUCAGAGAAGUCCCUAUGCUGCCUGAGGUCACACAGCACAGCCCAGCCUGACAGGUUUCCCGCUGCUGUGUCAGUUUCUCCACAGCUCUAGGGCUGCUGUCCCCUCCAGUCCAUGCAGUGGACCGGCACCCCUUCUUUUGCAUGUUCCACCUGCCUCUUCAAACAUCCCGGCACCACCAGGCACACGGGUUCUUAGCUGGGUUUUUUGGGGAGCUGCACCUCGGCCCGGGACAGUCAUUUCCGACACUGAUGGCCAGUGAUAAGGGCACGGGGAACAGCUGGGGCGGGCCAGGGGGAUGUGGGCCCAGAAAAGGGGAGAUACCAUCUGUGACUCACGGCUGUCCUGUGUGCCGCCCGCCACCUUUUUGCAUGUUUUGAGGUGUGUGCGGAACUCAGUGCCGGGGACCCCCCAGAAAUCAAAUCAUACGGAGAACCUCCGGGGCGGGGAGGUGGGGGGCGAGUCUCAGGAUGUGGGGUGGGGCUGGGGAAUUCCCCUAACCCGUGACUUUGGAAUUGCCCAUCAGGUGACUCCAGAGACUUGUCCACCCGGCGCUGGCCAGAGCCGAGGUUUAUCCAUCCCCUGCUCUCCAGCGGAAGGUCCGACGGCACAAGGGACAAGAACCACCCCAUCUUGCCUCAGUGCAGGCUGGUCAGUGCUCCCCCCACGCCUCUGGCGUGGCUCUCAUGCUCGGCGAGAUCAGCGCCGGCCACCUGCUCACUGCCCUCCCAGAGACCCCCGCUGCAGAGGCCGUGUGCGCCGGACAAGGGUGUCUCUACCGGCCCGGAACCCUGAACCUCGGGGAACUUCCCACCACCGCACGCCUGAUCCGCUGGAGGACGCGCACAGUGGCCCCGGCUUAUGUGUCCUGCCGAGAAGGGCGUCCCCGCCCUCAAACCGGAGCCCAGGGAGGGGCAGAAACCAGGUCCCCUGGGGUGGACCGUGCCUGCAGCACACAGCCCAGACUAAAACAGCUUUCUGGAAGCAUGACUGUGUAGCCCCCAGAGCAGGCCUUCCCUGUGGCCUGGCACAGCAAGAACGCUCGCACGAGCACACACGCAAGGUCAUCUUUCUCCAUCCAAGUCUGUGUCAGGAUGGGGGCGUGGGGCGGCCAUAAGAAACACCCGCAUGGGUUUCAACAGCAGGUGGUGAUUCCUUUGCAGAUGGGAAGACUUUGGGGGGCGGUGUGGACACCAUGGGCCAGCCCCUGAGUCCUCGUGUUGGGAGGGAAAAGACUUCGCCUUUCCCCUCCCAGGCCUCCCUUCCGUCUCAAAACGCUGACUCCAGAGUUCAUGACAAGGAGACAUGGUGACAGCUAAAAACGAGUGGCAAGAGUCUCCAGGACGUGCAGCCCGGCCUUGGCCACGACCUAAGUCGAACCGGCUUUGCACACCUGGUCUCGUCCUUGCUGAACUGCUUCUGUCCGUCGUGGCUCCUUUCUACGUAGAGGUCUGUGGCACGUGGGGUUUUUCUUCCUCUGAAACCCUCCCCCACACCCCUUCCUUGGUGAGCUGUCUUCACUGCACAGAGAAGCCCAAGGGGCCAUCCCCCCACAGACCACCAGGCACCGUCCCCAGACCCCCCGACUGUGGCCGUGAUGACUCUGAAGUGACCUCUGGAGGGAGCAGAAGGCAGGCUCCCGCAUCCUCAUCAACAGCCCUGGUUUGCAGCUCAACCUCGAAGAGCCCUGGCUGUCCCCUCUCAAGGGAGGACCCCGUUUGGAGGGGCUCCCCUGCCGGAGCCGCCUCUGCCUGGCAGAGCCAUAGAGCUGGUCUUUCUGCUUCACCCCAACUCUGUCUCUGAGGCUUCACGGGGGCCGCUGGACAGAGGCUGGGUUUGGCUGCAGUGCCUCCAGGUGUCCUCUGGCAUCUGGAGCUGCCUGUGUCACUGAAAAGCCACUGGUAUUGGAUAAAUGGUUACAGCUCUGAUGGGACAUUGACAGAGACAGGGUUACCACCCAACAGGUUGUCUUCUGGACUGGGCAGUAUCAGGCAUCUGACUUUAGGGACUUCUGUGUCCGUCCCUGCAUCACCUAGUUUGAGGGAGAAAUCACGUCCGUGGAUUUAACCCGAAUCCCCACCCUCCAUAUCUGAUUACCUGACAUCUGAUUGGGCUCCUCAUCCUGAAGCCUAUCAGGCUUGAUCAUCCGGCCACACUGUCAGCAGGAACCCUCCUGGGUCAGUGUGGCCAGAACCCUCCUCACCCCUGGUUUCCUAAUGUUCCAUCACCCCACCCCCGACCUGUUCUCUUGAAGUCCCACGUUAUACCCAGAAGGGAGCCUGGUGGUGCAUGAUGCCCCCUGUGCCUGCCCCAAAGUCCCAAAGCACAUCUGCCACUGGUUGUUGUUUGUUUUUUGUUUUUUGUUUUUUUCUUCUUUUUAGGGCUGCACCUGUGGCAUAUGGAAGGUCCCAGGCUAGGGCCCAAUCGAAGCUACAGCUGCCGGCCUACCCCAUGGUCACAGCAACGCCAGAUCUGAGCCACUUCUGGGGCUUACACCACAGCUCAUGGCAAUACCGGAUCCUCGACCCACUGAUCGAGGCCAGGGAUCAAACCUGCAUCCUCGUGGAUACCAGGCGGGUUCUUAACCCACUGAGCUGCCGCAUGAACUUCCUGUCCUAGUGUGAAUUCACAGAGACCAUGGAAUUCCAUCCCCACUCCUCGGGGGAGCACACCUGGGGGGCAUGAGAAGGGGGUGUCCACGGGAUACAGCCUGGAGACAAACAGCCUCCCCCAAGGAAGCAGUUCCUUCUGUGAUUCAACUGCAGUCCUUGGCUUCAAGCUCUGUCCUGCUGACUGAAAUCUGGCUUUACCUUGUGCCUUAAGCUGAGGGAGUUCCCUUCAUGCCGGCAGCUGUAGCUCCGAUUAGACCCCUACCCUGGAAACCUCCAUAUGCCGCGGGUAUGGCCCUAAGAAAUAAAAGACACACACAGAAAAAAUUACAAUCCCCAACACACACACACACACACACACACACACACACACACACUCCAGGUAUAUCUGAUCCAGCUUACUUACUGCACCCUGCAGAGAGAGAUAAGAUAAACCCAGCGUCAGCAUGAAAAAAAAAA